rnacentral:tRNA from 1 species
AGGCUUGUAGCUCAGUGGUUAGAGCGUUGUGUUGAUAACGCAAAGGUCGACGGUUCAAUUCUGUCCAGGCCU